AUUGAACGCUGGCGGCAGGCCUAACACAUGCAAGUCGAGCGGAUGAAGGGAGCUUGCUCCUGGAUUCAGCGGCGGACGGGUGAGUAAUGCCUAGGAAUCUGCCUGGUAGCGGGGGAUAACGUCCGGAAACGGGCGCUGAUACCGCAUACGUCCUGAGGGAGAAAGUGGGGGAUCUUCGGACCUCACGCUAUCAGAUGAGCCUAGGUCGGAUUAGCUAGUUGGUGGGGUAAAGGCCUACCAAGGCGACGAUCCGUAACUGGUCUGAGAGGAUGAUCAGUCACACUGGAACUGAGACACGGUCCAGACUCCUACGGGAGGCAGCAGUGGGGAAUAUUGGACAAUGGGCGAAAGCCUGAUCCAGCCAUGCCGCGUGUGUGAAGAAGGUCUUCGGAUUGUAAAGCACUUUAAGUUGGGAGGAAGGGCAGUAAGUUAAUACCUUGCUGUUUUGACGUUACCAACAGAAUAAGCACCGGCUAACUUCGUG
rnacentral:rRNA from 1 species